UUUUCCCAAUAUGUAAUAUUAAGGACAAACAAAGGAAAGUGUCGCCUAAAAAACAGAAACGACAACGCUAGAACACAUUGAAGGAUGGUCACCUAACCCAGAGUUGAGCUCAAUUCGGAGUCCUAACCACCUGUACCUCAACGACAAGUCUCAGAGUACUUAUGUCUAUUGGGAACUAUACCAGCGCAUGCCGUACUGCCUAUGCGUUUAUACAGCGCCUCCCUCGUUGGACUUGGACAGCGAAGAGUGUGACUCCCGUUUAGCUUUAAGUAGAUUUAGUUAUAGUUGUACUUUUAGUUCAUAUGUUAACUGUUAAUAUGAACCUCUGUUUUAAAUCCAAAGGUAUUAUCUCAUAUAUUUGUCUUAUAUUCGUUUUAACUUAACUUCAAACCAAAAUAUUGUUUGUAUUUCUAUAUUUGUUAAUCUAAGGAGAUUUAAAUGUUCAAUUGUUCUCCUUUUUGUAUUCUUUAAAUUCUCAG